UAGGUGUGCAUCCCCACAGGCUAGGUCUUGUGAGCUAUGAACAAGUAGGGGACCGAAAUGAUGCAGGGCAGUGGGUGCUAGAGUGGAGUGGUGACUGUGGGUGUUGGCUGAGUCUCUGCUUUAGUGGAGCUGAUGUGGAUGGGAUGGGAGAGGGAGGCAGGGAUGAGAGCAAGAUUUCACGCGUCAAUUGUAUUUUGUGUAGCGAUGGCUCUUGCUUGGCUUAUUUGAUGCACUUGCAGAGAAAUCAUCGGGGAGCAGCAGCAGGAGGAGAAACUAGCAGACGCGGACCUGAGCAGCCUGGACAUCCUUCUAAGCACAGAUUAACAGUCUUCAGCUUUCUGCCUUCCACAUAACUGGCUGACCAAGAGAAAAGAAGUGGAGGGUCAGCGUCGACUCACCUCAUGUUACGGAAAGCGAGUGAGAGCGACGAGAUCGCAAGCAUUUUGGAUGCCAGGCAAGAGCCGUCCAGCUGGGAGCGGAGCAGCCGCCACUGUCAAUGAGAUAAGUAUCUGUUUUGGUGAUUGCUCUGCUCACUGCCCACCUGAAUCCAGAUACAAAUGCCCCAUUAGCUGGGACUGGGUUUGUAACAAAAUAUUCCUGACUACGUGUGGUUCUGAAGGAGACAAGGUCCCCAUUUUCAGGGGCUGCUCAUUUCUUUGUUCACAAGCGCUGUGUCCUCUACAGAAAAAGUUGGAUCCAGGAGGUUGAUUCCAGGUGGCGAGUUGCUUGCCUUCCUCCUGUUUUUUUCUCUCUCUCUCUCUCUUCUCCAGUACGUUGGCCAACACACACCCUUUCUUUCUGUCCUUGCUUUUCCUUGUGCUGUCUCCCUUCGUACGACACGAGCAUGUGUGCUCGGUGUGCACCCCCACAGGGUAGGUCUCGGGGGCCAUGAUGAAGUAGGAGGGGACGAAAAUUGUGCAAGGUAGCGGGCACGGGAGUGGAGGGGUGACUGUCAGUGUUAACUUGGUCUCUGUUUAUCAAUUGGGGCAGAUAUAGAUGGGCUGGAAGAGGGAGGCAGGGAUGAGGGCAAGAUUUCAAACAUCAAUAGAGAUGUGUGUAGUGAUGGCUCAUGAUUGGCUUUUGCAGAUCCAUUUCCAGAGGAAUUUCCCAGGAGCCGUAGCGGGAGGAGAGGUUGGCAGAUGUGGACAUGAGGAAACUGAACAUUCUUCUAAGCAGACACGAACAGUCCUCAGCUUUCUGCUUCCCACAUAACUGGCUUACCAAGGAAAAAGAAGUCGCACGUCAGAGUCUACUGCCCUCAUGCGAUGGAAAGUG